GUACACACGUAUUACAAUGGUAGGGACACAGUGCAGAGAACUUUCGAAAGUAAGUGAAUCUCUGCAAACCAUACGUCACUUCUGAUAGCAGGCUGCAAAUCUCGUGCACGAAAGAGGAAUAUCUAGUAAUAUCAGGUCAGCAUAUUGCGGUGAAUCUGUUUUCGGGCCUUGUACACACCGCCCGUCUCACCACGGAAGAGGUCCACGCCCCGAAGUGCGUUACCCCAACCCUUAUGGAGGGGGAUGCCGAAGGCAGGGUUAGUGACUGGGGUGAAGUCGUAACAAGGUAGCCGUACCGGAAGGUGUGGCUGGAUCACCU
rnacentral:rRNA from 1 species